UGAGUACGAGAUGCUACGGCAUCGAAGCAGUCUAUGUCAUACUUCCAAGAAAAGCUUGCAAUGUCAUAAACAAAUAAUGCCUGUACCAUAACCGACACAGGUGGGUAGGUAGAGUAUACUAAGGGGCGCGAGAUAACUCUCUCUAAGGAACUCGGCAAAAUGACUCCGUAACUUCGGGAGAAGGAGUGCCUUAUUUUUAUAAGGUUGCAAUAACAAGAUCCAAGCAACUGUUUACCAAAAACACAGGUCUCCGCUAAGUCGUAAGACGAUGUAUGGGGGCUGACGCCUGCCCAGUGCCAGAAGGCUAAAGAAGCUGGUUAGCAUUAGCGAAGCUGAUAACUGAAGCCCUGGUGAACGGCGACCGUAACAAUAACGGUCCUAAGGUAGCGAAAUUCCUUGUCGGGUAAGUUCCGACCCGCACGAAAGGCGUAAUGAUUUGGAUACUGUCUCGGAGAGGGGCUCGGUGAAAUAGACUUGUCUGUGAAGAUGCGGACUACCUGCACCUGGACAGAAAGACCCUAUGAAGCUUUACUGUAACUUGAGAUUGAAAUUGGACUUUAUCUGCGCAGUAUAGGUGGGAGACGUUGAAAAUAUUCUUGCGGGAAUAUUGGAGUCAUCAGUGAGAUACCACUCUUAUAAUGUUAGAUUUCUAACUUUGUAUCAUUAUCUGGUCAAAGAACAGUUUCAGGCGGGCAGUUUGACUGGGGCGGUCGCCUCCCAAACGGUAACGGAGGCGCACAAAGGUUUCCUCUGAACGUGUAGAAAUCGUAUCUAGAGUGUAAAGGCAUAAGGAAGCUUGACUGUGAGACCUACAAGUCGAGCAGGGACGAAAGUCGGUCUUAGUGAUCUGACGGUGCUGAGUGGAAAGGCCGUCACUCAACGGAUAAAAGUUACUCUAGGAUAACAGGCUGAUCUCCCCCAAGAGUUCACAUCGACGGGGAGGUUUGGCACCUUGAUGUCGGCUCAUCGCAUCCUGGGGCGGUAGUACGUCCCAAGGGUUGGGCUGUUCGCCCAUGAAAGCGGUACGCGAGCUGGGUUCAGAACGUCGUGAGACAGUUCGGUCCAUAUCCGGUGUAGGCGUUAGAAUAUUGAGAGGAGCCUUCUUUAGUACGAGAGGACCGAGAAGGACAUACCUCUGGUGUACCAGUUAUCGUGCCAACGGUAAACGCUGGGUAGCCAUGUAUGGAGAGGAUAACCGCUGAAAGCAUCUAAGUGGGAAGCCCACCUCAAGAUAAG
rnacentral:rRNA from 1 species